rnacentral:rRNA from 1 species
UACGGGGGGGGUAAGCGUUGUUCGGAAUUACUGGGCGUAAAGGGCGCGUAGGCGGCCGCCUAAGUCAGACGUGAAAUCCCCGAGCUCAACUCGGGAACUGCGUCCGAUACUGACAGGCUUGAAUCCGGGAGAGGGAUGCGGAAUUCCAGGUGUAGCGGUGAAAUGCGUAGAUAUCUGGAGGAACACCGGUGGCGAAGGCGGCAUCCUGGACCGGCAUUGACGCUGAGGCGCGAAAGCGUGGGGAGCGAACAGG